rnacentral:rRNA from 1 species
UACAGAGGGUACGAGCGUUAAUCGGAAUUACUGGGCGUAAAGCGCGCAUAGGCGGCUUUGCAAGUCGGGUGUGAAAUCCCCAGGCUUAACCUGGGAACUGCAUUCGAGACUGCAUUGCUAGAGUAUGGGAGAGGGGAGUGGAAUUCCUGGUGUAGCGGUGAAAUGCGCAGAUAUCAGGAAGAACACCAAUGGCGAAAGCAGCUCUCUGGGACGGGUACUGGACGCUGAGACGCGAAAGCGUGGGGAGCGAACAGG